rnacentral:misc_RNA from 1 species
GAUGAAGAACGUAGCGAAAUGAGAUAAGUAAUGCGAAUUGCAGAAUUCAGUGAGUCAUCGAAUCUUUGAACGCACAUUGCGCCCUGUGGUAUUCCGCAGGGCAUGCCUGUUCGAGCGUCAUUUCAACCCUCAAGCUCUGCUUGGUGUUGGGCCCUGCCCGCUGCGGCCGGCCCUAAAGACAGUGGCGGUGCCGCCUGGCCCUGAGCGUAGUACAUCUCUCGCUCCAGUGCCCGGUGGUAGCCUGCCAGAACCCCAACUCUCGUGGUUGACCUCGGAUCAGGUAGGGAUACCCGCUGAACUUAAGCAUAUCAAUAAGCGGAGGA